UGAGGAUCAUUUGCAAUGGGCGCAAGCCUGACAAUGCGACGCUGCGUGGAGGAUGACGGCCUUCGGGUUGUAAACUCCUGUCGUCCGGGAACAAUAUCGGGAGGGUUAAUAACCCUGCCGGUUGAUGGUACCGGAAAAGGAAGUCACGGCUAACUCUGUGCCAGCAGCCGCGGUAAUACAGAGGUCCCAAGCGUUGUUCGGAUUCACUGGGCGUAAAGGGUGCGUAGGCGGUAUGACAAGUCUAACGUGAAAUGCUGGAGCUCAACUCCGGAACUGCGUAGGAAACUGUCAUGCUAGAGGGUUGGAGGGGGGACUGGAAUUCUCGGUGUAGCAGUGAAGUGCGUAGAUAUCGUGAGGAAUACCAGAGGCGAAGGCGGCUACCUGGACAAUUGCUGACGCUCAGGCACGAAAGCGUGGGGAGCAAAAG
rnacentral:rRNA from 1 species